UGGACAGAUUAUUGUAUUCGACUGUAUUCACGGUAUGAAAUAGGGGACUAUAUUAUUUUUUAACGGAAAGUGAAUCAAUUAACAUAAUAGGCUCCU
rnacentral:pre_miRNA from 1 species